rnacentral:tRNA from 1 species
GCCUCGGUAGCUCAGUUGGUAAAGCACUUGUCUAGCGUAUAAGAUUCGUGAGUUCAAAUCUCACCUGAGCUG